CGCUGGCGGCAGGCCUAACACAUGCAAGUCGAGCGGAUGACAGGAGCUUGCUCCUGAAUUCAGCGGCGGACGGGUGAGUAAUGCCUAGGAAUCUGCCUGGUAGUGGGGGACAACGUUUCGAAAGGAACGCUAAUACCGCAUACGUCCUACGGGAGAAAGCAGGGGACCUUCGGGCCUUGCGCUAUCAGAUGAGCCUAGGUCGGAUUAGCUAGUUGGUGAGGUAAUGGCUCACCAAGGCGACGAUCCGUAACUGGUCUGAGAGGAUGAUCAGUCACACUGGAACUGAGACACGGUCCAGACUCCUACGGGAGGCAGCAGUGGGGAAUAUUGGACAAUGGGCGAAAGCCUGAUCCAGCCAUG
rnacentral:rRNA from 1 species